GUCUCUUUUCUGUUCGGAGCCAUCUGAGCAACGACCCCCUGGGAUAGCACAGCUGGGCAGGGGGAGAAGACACAACAAACUGUGUGCUUCCAUACUUUGCUGCUAGUAAGUAUUACACCCACCCAAAAGUGCUCUGAGCUACCAUCUGCUCCAGCCUGAACAAAAGAAAAAGGAAUUACAGCUGAUGAAACAGCUACUGAAGGAUACAGCUAAACGUGCCUGUGGUGCCUUUCACCUAUUUGGCUGUCUGGCUUCUUGUGACAGGUUUAUGGCACAAACCCAACCCUGUCUCAGAACUGCUCCAAGAAAUACUGGGAGUUAGUCUGUGAAAAGGGAAGAGUAGUUGGACUCUGUCUCAAGUGGGUAGUUGUCCCCUGAAACAGAGAUGGGAUCUACUCACUUUGCUGUUGAGGAGGAGAGGAGCAGAGAAGGUGGUUGCCUUUAUUCCUUCUUGUAGGCAAACAGCAAAAUCAUCUAAGUACCUGCAGAACUUUCUGAACUUACAGUGAAAGUUUAAAGAUUUACAGCUUUCUACCAGAAAGACUCUUCUGAGGCUGCAGCUGCCUGACUCCCAGGAAACACCUGCGUUUGGUACUGACACUGAUUGUUCUGCUGCUCACCGCAGAGAAGAGCUGGCUGGCAUCCCACAGAGCGAAAGCUGAAAUCUUCAUGUUGUCAAUAAGAAACUGGAGGAAGGAAUGGUUUUGCCACACGUGAGGAGUGGUGAAAUGGAAGGGAAGAUGCCACCUUUGUCUCCGAAGCUGACUUGCAGCCUGCCUGCUCACACUAAGCAGACCAGCACGCAGGCGUUUCCGUUCAGUGGCUGAGUCACUUCAGAAGUCACGGAUUUGCUGGUACCUGCCCUUAGCAAACAUCCACAGUCUGAUGGUGACUACUGGCUGAGGUAUCAAACGGUAGAUGAGUACCUUCUUCGUACAGUUAUGUCAUAUUAAGACUGCUAGCUAGUUAAAAACGGAGGCUUAACCCCAGAUAAGGAGUGAUAAUGUCAGACAAGGAUAUUGUUUGUAUUAGGCUGCUUCACUCACAGCAACUCACCCCUUCCAGAUGGGAAUUAUUUGCACUUGGAUCUGAGCAAAAUCCUUAAUUAGCAUGUUCAGAGUUUCACAGAUGAAAAGAUCUGUACAAUGCAAAAAUAGUGGCAAUUAUUAUUCCUAUGGUGAGCUUUUACAUUACUGUUUAAAACUAUGUAUAAUAUGCUAAUUAUAGGUACUUGCUAUUUAGUUUUUUUAUCUCUUUAUUAUUUGAAGUCUUUACAGUUUUGGGGGAUUUGGGUUUUUCUUUUGGUUUGGGAUUUUUUUUUUUUUUACUUCUUUUGCUUUAGCUCCUCAGUAUCUCCAUCAUGAGCUAGACUCCGGGCUAAGUAAUACAUAUAAAAGGUAGAGAGAGUCCCUGCCCUAGGGCUUUGCAGUUUGAUUGCAGUACAAGCGACAGUGAUCAGCUGCUGAGACGAAACUAAUCAGUGCAAUUUGCACUAGCAUCACUGGACCAGUGUGCCUGUUGGUAGGUAUCUGUGAGGCUAGGUGGCAUAGCAAAGAAGCAUUUUAACGAGGGGUUUAAGGAGUAUGAGGAGCUCACCCUGAUAAUGCCUGUGGGGAGUGGCUUUCUCAGUGAAAGAGGGAAGGUCUCAGUGCUCCUCUUCAAGUGUUUCAUGAGCAGGUCCAUUUAAGCACGGGCUACAACCUGCUUGGCUGGUUUAGCAAAUUCAUUGCUGCUGCAACAGGUUACAUUUGCCAUGCAGAAGAAACACGCACUACUUGUGAAAUGCUGUUUUGUUACUUUUUGUGUAGAAGAAAACAAAAAAAGAAAUGAUGAGGCAUCAUUUCCACUGUUCCUCAGCAUUUUCAGUCAGAGGAUUACGAGAUCAUUCAAACAGAGGCGCCACAAAGAUUUGCAUUUACAGCCACAAAAAGGGGCCAAAGUCUGAAGAUCACCUUCUCCUAUUUCAUGGAGCUGAUCACAGACUGGGAAACGUUUUUCUACUAUCCUUGUGCCUGGACGUGAAGUCAACUGUGCUUCAAAUACCUGUUUCGACAUUACCCAGACACAUAUGAGCCUAAGCAGCCAGCAGCCAGCCUGGGCUACUGCCGACUGUGACAGAGCAAGGAGAUGGCACAGUGGGAAGAUGGUGAGUUCUGGGUAGCUCUGAUUAAUCAAACUAGAGCCUAUGGCUAGACACCUCCACAAGCAAGUGGAAUAGCAACAGACCAAGAGAGAAGUCUUUACAGAAGAGAAAGGCUUUUCACACAGAAAGGGGUUUAUGCAGUGACUGUUCAAACCCAUUCCCACUCACUGUAGUUUUCUGCUCCUUGCACUUAUGCAGCAUGGAACUAUGUCUCAGGUUCUAGAAUCACAGAAUUGUUUGGUUUGGGAAAAACAUCAGUUAUUCACUGCUUUGUGUUAAAAAGAACAGGAUUAAGGUUACAGAAGGUAGGAGGUAAUCGCAGAAUCAUGGUAAUCUUUCAGAGUAAGUCACUACCACUGCAUAAAGGAAAUGUAAUGAAAGACAUUAAAGGCUUCACGUUUUCUUGAAA